GACGAACGCUGGCGGCGUGCUUAACACAUGCAAGUCGAGCGGUAAGGCCCUUUCGGGGGUACACGAGCGGCGAACGGGUGAGUAACACGUGGGUGACCUGCCCUCAGCUCUGGGAUAAGCCUGGGAAACCGGGUCUAAUACCGGAUAUGACUCCAUGACGCAUGUUGUGGGGUGGAAAGCCUUGUGCGGCUGAGGAUGGGCCCGCGGCCUAUCAGCUUGUUGGUGGGGNGAUGGCCUACCAAGGCGACGACGGGUAGCCGGCCUGAGAGGGCGACCGGCCACACUGGGACUGAGACACGGCCCAGACUCCUACGGGAGGCAGCAGUGGGGAAUCUUGCGCAAUGGGCGAAAGCCUGACGCAGCGACGCCGCCGUGAGGGAUGACGGCCU
rnacentral:rRNA from 1 species